GAGAGCCGGAUGCGGUGAGAGCCGCACGUCCGGUUCGGCAAGACGUCCGGGGAAACGGAGUGGGAGCAAUCCCGGC
rnacentral:ncRNA from 1 species